rnacentral:rRNA from 1 species
AUUGAACGCUGGCGGCAGGCCUAACACAUGCAAGUCGAGCGGAUGAAGGGAGCUUGUUCCUGUCUUCAGCGGCCGACGGGCGAGUAAUUCAUACGUAUCUGCCUGGCAGUUGGGGAUAACGUCAGUACAGGGGCCCUAAUCUAGCACCCGUUCUGAGGGUGAAAGUGAGGGAUCUUCAGACCUCACCCUAUCAGCUGACCCUAGGUCGGAUUAGCUAGUUGGUUGGGUAAAGGCCUACCAAGGCGACGAUCCGUAACUGCCCUGAGAGGAUGAUCUGUCACACUGGAACUGAGACACGGUCCAGACUCCUACGGGAGGCAGCAGUAGGGAAUAUUGGGCAAAGGGCGAAAGCCUGAUCCAGCCAUGCCGCGUGUGUGAAGAAGGUCUUCGGAUUGUAAAGCACUUUUAGUUGGGAGGAAGGGCAGUAUGUUAAUACCUGGCUGUUUUGACGUUACCAACAGAGAAAGCACCGGCUAACUUCGUG